rnacentral:tRNA from 1 species
AGCUAGGUGGCUCAGGGGAUAGAGUGCAUGACUUGAACUCUGGAAGAACUGAGUUCAAAACCAGCCUAGCUG